rnacentral:piRNA from 1 species
UGAAGUAUUCUAAGAGUACCACUUGUG